rnacentral:rRNA from 1 species
GUGACUGCGUACCUUUUGUAUAAUGGGUCAGCGACUUAUAUUCUGUAGCAAGGUUAACCGAAUAGGGGAGCCGAAGGGAAACCGAGUCUUAACUGGGCGUUAAGUUGCAGGGUAUAGACCCGAAACCCGGUGAUCUAGCCAUGGGCAGGUUGAAGGUUGGGUAACACUAACUGGAGGACCGAACCGACUAAUGUUGAAAAAUUAGCGGAUGACUUGUGGCUGGGGGUGAAAGGCCAAUCAAACCGGGAGAUAGCUGGUUCUCCCCGAAAGCUAUUUAGGUAGCGCCUCGUGAAUUCAUCUCCGGGGGUAGAGCACUGUUUCGGCAAGGGGGUCAUCCCGACUUACCAACCCGAUGCAAACUGCGAAUACCGGAGAAUGUUAUCACGGGAGACACACGGCGGGUGCUAACGUCCGUCGUGAAGAGGGAAACAACCCAGACCGCCAGCUAAGGUCCCAAAGUCAUGGUUAAGUGGGAAACGAUGUGGGAAGGCCCAGACAGCCAGGAUGUUGGCUUAGAAGCAGCCAUCAUUUAAAGAAAGCGUAAUAGCUCACUGGUCGAGUCGGCCUGCGCGGAAGAUGUAACGGGGCUAAACCAUGCACCGAAGCUGCGGCAGCGACGCUUAUGCGUUGUUGGGUAGGGGAGCGUUCUGUAAGCCUGCGAAGGUGUGCUGUGAGGCAUGCUGGAGGUAUCAGAAGUGCGAAUGCUGACAUAAGUAACGAUAAAGCGGGUGAAAAGCCCGCUCGCCGGAAGACCAAGGGUUCCUGUCCAACGUUAAUCGGGGCAGGGUGAGUCGACCCCUAAGGCGAGGCCGAAAGGCGUAGUCGAUGGGAAACAGGUUAAUAUUCCUGUACUUGGUGUUACUGCGAAGGGGGGACGGAGAAGGCUAUGUUGGCCGGGCGACGGUUGUCCCGGUUUAAGCGUGUAGGCUGGUUUUCCAGGCAAAUCCGGAAAAUCAAGGCUGAGGCGUGAUGACGAGGCACUACGGUGCUGAAGCAACAAAUGCCCUGCUUCCAGGAAAAGCCUCUAAGCAUCAGGUAACAUCAAAUCGUACCCCAAACCGACACAGGUGGUCAGGUAGAGAAUACCAAGGCGCUUGAGAGAACUCGGGUGAAGGAACUAGGCAAAAUGGUGCCGUAACUUCGGGAGAAGGCACGCUGAUAUGUAGGUGAAGUCCCUCGCGGAUGGAGCUGAAAUCAGUCGAAGAUACCAGCUGGCUGCAACUGUUUAUUAAAAACACAGCACUGUGCAAACACGAAAGUGGACGUAUACGGUGUGACGCCUGCCCGGUGCCGGAAGGUUAAUUGAUGGGGUUAGCGCAAGCGAAGCUCUUGAUCGAAGCCCCGGUAAACGGCGGCCGUAACUAUAACGGUCCUAAGGUAGCGAAAUUCCUUGUCGGGUAAGUUCCGACCUGCACGAAUGGCGUAAUGAUGGCCAGGCUGUCUCCACCCGAGACUCAGUGAAAUUGAACUCGCUGUGAAGAUGCAGUGUACCCGCGGCAAGACGGAAAGACCCCGUGAACCUUUACUAUAGCUUGACACUGAACAUUGAGCCUUGAUGUGUAGGAUAGGUGGGAGGCUUUGAAGUGUGGACGCCAGUCUGCAUGGAGCCGACCUUGAAAUACCACCCUUUAAUGUUUGAUGUUCUAACGUUGACCCGU